rnacentral:rRNA from 1 species
UACGGAGGGAGCUAGCGUUAUUCGGAAUUACUGGGCGUAAAGCGCACGUAGGCGGCUUUGUAAGUAAGAGGUGAAAGCCCAGAGCUCAACUCUGGAAUUGCCUUUUAGACUGCAUCGCUUGAAUCAUGGAGAGGUCAGUGGAAUUCCGAGUGUAGAGGUGAAAUUCGUAGAUAUUCGGAAGAACACCAGUGGCGAAGGCGGCUGACUGGACAUGUAUUGACGCUGAGGUGCGAAAGCGUGGGGAGGCAAACAGG